rnacentral:rRNA from 1 species
AUUGAACGCUGGCGGCAUGCCUUACACAUGCAAGUCGAACGGUAACGGGCCUUCGGGUGCCGACGAGUGGCGAACGGGUGAGUAAUGCAUCGGAACGUACCUUUCAGUGGGGGAUAACGUAGCGAAAGUUGCGCUAAUACCGCAUAUUCUCUCCGGAGGAAAGCAGGGGACCGCAAGGCCUUGCGCUCAUUGAGCGGCCGAUAUCAGAUUAGCUAGUUGGUGGGGUAAAAGCUCACCAAGGCGACGAUCUGUAGCGGGUCUGAGAGGAUGAUCCGCCACACUGGAACUGAGACACGGUCCAGACUCCUACGGGAGGCAGCAGUGGGGAAUAUUGCACAAUGGGCGAAAGCCUGAUGGAGCGACGCCGCGUGAGCGAAGAAGGCCUUCGGGUUGUAAAGCUCUGUCUGGAGGGACGAAGGAAGUGACGGUACCUCCGGAGGAAGCCACGGCUAACUACGUG